CACGUAGGGGGCGAGCGUUGUCCGGAUUCAUUGGGCGUAAAGAGCUCGUAGGCGGCUCAGUAAGUCGGGUGUGAAACCCUCAGGCUCAACCUGGGGACGCCACUCGAUACUGCUGUGGCUAGAGUCCAGUAGAGGAGUGUGGAAUUCCCGGUGUAGCGGUGAAAUGCGCAGAUAUCGGGAGGAACACCAACGGCGAAGGCAGCACUCUGGGCUGGAACUGACGCUGAGGAGCGAAAGCUAGGGGAGCAAACGGG
rnacentral:rRNA from 1 species